CUGUCUCACCUCACAUCGCUUAUCAAGCCAGCUGCAAAGGAGCUCCUCACCUUGUCUGUCUCACCUCACAUCGCUUAUCUCCCGUCCAGUGAACUACAGUAGAUUUUUCCUCCUCAGAUCCCCCACAUGGCGGAAGAAGAAUGGCCGCCUAUCUCUGGAGGAAAAAUGGCGAUGGCAGCUUCAAUUUCGUUGGUGGACGAAGCCUACGACUUGGGUGCUGUCCCGGAUUCUCGCAGGCAGAUGCUGUUGCAGGAGAUCAUAAUCGCCCAAGCAGAUCUCGAUAUAAUUGAGCGUUGGCUUAUCGCGGCGGACUUCCAUUUCCAUGGCCCACUUCACCGCUUGUUUCAGGGUGUGAGGGAUUGUAUCUGGUCGUUUAGGAACGCUGUUGAUGAGGUGGAAGACGCCAUCGACUACCACAGGAUGGUGAAAGUGGUUGGUAAUCCGAUCUCCAAGUUUGUCAACAACCUCGCACGAUUUGACACAUGGAGCAGCCUUAAAAGACUGAGGAAUACUCUCGGCAGGUUACAAGAAGCUUCUGAUUUCCUUUCUCACUAUGUGAGUGACCUAGCUCGUGCUCUGUUAGAUGCUCCUGCCCCUAAAAUUGAUUUUGAGCAAUACCCUGAAAUUGUUUUUGGACGGGACUGGGAGAAAGAACGGUUACUGCAGUGGUUGACGAAUGACACAGCUCAAGACAAUCCUGUCUCUGUUUUUGCGGUGGUGGGGAUGGCUGGAAUGGGGAAAACUACACUUGCUAAUGUAGUCCGUCAAGACCCGAGAGUGUCCACUAAUUAUCACGCUGUUGUGUGGGUGCCCGUGUCUGUUGCUUUUAACAUAGAAUCAAUGGUAAAAGUUAUACUGGAGUCAAUUACUGGUAGACCACCUGCAUACACUAGUAUGUACCUUCUGCAGAAGUCUCUUAUAGAAAUUCUCAGAUAUAGAAAGGUUCUGCUAAUCCUAGAUGAUGUCUGGGAAGAUAGCAGUGUCGACAAGUGGCAAACAUUGGUCGAUCCUCUAAAGGUCUGCAAGAAAGGAAGCAGAGUCCUACUAACAACUCGGAUGCAAUCAGUAGCGGAUAUGGCAUCUGCUGCUAUUGGAACUGCAGCUGAAUACCUGAAACUGGAUGACUUGGAUGAAAAUGACAGUCUCAUGCUCCUCAAAUGCCGACUGCCAUCUCGGGUUUAUUUUCAAGAUUAUAAUUAUCUUAUGUUGAUUGCUGAACAAAUAUUGAAAAAGAUUGGUGGAUGCCCUCUAGUAAUAAAUCUGGUUGCUUCAUGGUUGGGUUCACAUAUGGAGAACCAUCAUUGGGUUACAUUAUUACAGAAAGGCUGGCAGCACAUUGAAGAAAAGAACUUCAUUAUUAGAUCUUUCAGAUUGAGCUAUGAUCGCAUUCCUACAGAACUGCAAGCUUGUUUUAGAUAUUGUAGCUUAUUUACCAAAGGAUACAAAUUUAACAAGGGAGAAUUGGCAAAAAUGUGGAGUUGUUCUGGAUUGAUACCUUUCGGCUCAUCAAAGCAAGAGAAUAUUGGCAUACAGAAAACACAACAUGUUGACAUGUUAAGUGCAGAGUAUGUCGAGGAAGAAUACUUUGAUGCGCUGGCAAGAAAAUCAUUCUUUUCCUGUAUGCUGGAAACAGAUCUUUCUACUGGAGAUCAGAAUGAAUAUUAUGUUUUGCAUAGUCUGAUGCAUGAUUUAGCAGAACUUGUCUCUAUAGGUGAAGGCGCAAGAAUGGACAAUGGUGGUUUUCAUAAUGUCAGCAACACAACCCGACACAUGUCUGUUGCGCAUGUCAGUAAUUUAGUCAGGAUCAGUGUUAAUUUUCGAUUCUUACGUACCCUUAUCAUAAAAAAUGAGUUUAGUCCUGAUCAAAAUACUGACCGUGUUCUUGGGAUUGUUCUGGAGUUAUUAAGCCACUUGCGUCUUCUAAACUUGGAUGUGCCAUCCUUGUUUCAUGCACUUGAUAGUGUUAGCAAUCUAACUCAGCUCCGUUAUCUCUUUUUGUUUUCGUGUGAUGAGUCACAUCUGCACAAAAUCUUCAAACUCCAUCACCUUCAAGUGUUCAAGCUUAAGCACUUAACAGUUACAAAAGGAGGCAACAUUGAUAUACAUAACUUGCGUUGUUUGCGCUGUCUGGAUGUUCCUGAUAAUAUGUCUUCCAAGAUCCAUCAAAUUGGGAGAUUAACUUCACUUCGGGAGUUACAUGGAUUUGACAUGGUAAAAAAUGAUGUUCAGAGGUCGAAAUCAUUGGGGGAUGUAAGAAGCCUUUUUCAGCUCAGCCUCAGGAAUCUUGAAAAUGUCAGUGAUUGUGAAGAAGCUAUGGAGAUCAAAUUAAAGGAUAAACAUCAUAUGGAGUUUUUGUCCAUGUCGUGGAACAAACAUUUGAAGGAACUAGUGGAUCGCGAUGACCAAGUUAUUGAUAAACUUGAACCAAACAAAGAAAUUCUGCGGCUGAAUAUUCAUGGAUACAAUGGAGUCAACCUUCCAUUUUGGAUUGAGAACUCAUCGCUCAUCCACUUGGUAUCACUUGAGCUUGAAUACUGCAUGAAAUGGAAGAGCCUGCCCUCACUUCAGUUGUUUAAUUCAUUGAAGCAUUUGAAGUUGGAGAAUCUAGUUCAACUAGAAUACAUAGGUACAAAACCUGAGCUGCAACUUGAGACCGACGAACCAGAGGAUGUUUGGUUGCCCCCAUUUCUCAGUACUCUGAAAGUUCGAUGGUGUCCUAACCUCAAGGAACUUCCUGCUAUACCAAGUACCCUUGAACUAUUAAUUAUAAAGCAUGUGCAGCUUGCAGUUCUCCCAAGCAUACAUCAGAGAUAUACUGGUGCCAGGGAUUCACAGUCAGUAAAAUCUCAGCUUUCUUUUCUGCACAUUGAAAGUUGUCCACGUUUGACUUCCCUGAGCAAAGGUCUCCUAGAGCAGCAGGAACAACUUCAAUCUCUUACAGCAUUAUCCGUGAGACAUUGUGAAAGGCUACAGCAUCUGCCAACAAGGGGUUUUGCAGAAUUAUACCACCUUACUACUCUUGAAAUAGUUGCAUGUCCAAUACUAAGGGAUGUUAAGAUCAGAAGCAGUCUGCUGCCUACAUCACUAAAGAACUUGGAUGUGAAACCCUGUGGUGAUAUUGAAGCUUCAAUUCUCAUGUCAUUGCAAAACCUUACAUGUGUCUUUGCAAGAGAGUUUUGGUUUCGAAUUCUAGCAAAGUUUGACUGGCAGGUCUGCACUCCAUUAAGGGAUGAACUCUCCUUCUCAGAAUGGUGGAGGACGAGUGUCAAAAAGAUUCAGAAAGAUAAACGGAAAGGUUUUAAUACUUUGGUUAUUUUGGGUGCUUGGCUUCUUUGGAAACACCGAAACGCUUGUGUGUUUGAAGGAGACCGCCCAAAUUUGGACAGGUUACUGCAGGCGUUCAAGGAUGAACACCACUUGUGGUGUCUGGCAGGGGCUCGAAGCCUCAGCUCCUUGAGUGCUGGUCAAGUGUUCGGACUAGGCUAGUUCCUAGUCCUUGUUAGUGGUCUCGGGUCAAGCUUUUGUUUUUUGUUUUUUUCUUAGGCUACAACAUCAUAGUGUAUCACAGCCCCUCACAGCUCGGCUCGGAGUGAGGUGUGCUAGUUUGUAAGGGGCCGGUUUAUUCUCUCUAUUAAUACAAAGAUACGCAGCUCUCCUGCGUAUUCGAGAAAAAAAAUUGCAGCAAUAUAGAGGAACUACCAUCAGUCGAAAUCUUUGGGACUCUGAACAAUCUUAAUGAUGUGUCAAUAUGUAGAUGCAAAAACUUGAUAUCCUUGGGUGCUCUUGGAGCCGUUGCCUCCCUGAGAAUGCUGUCAAUCCUAUGCUGUGAUAAGAUCAGUUUUUCACACAAGCCACAGGAUGGCUGCUGCUUUAAGCUACAGAAGCUCAGAAUUGACCGUCAAGCUCUGUUAUCGGUGGAGCCACUAAGGGGCCUCAGACAUACCAAAGAGCUACAAAUCGGUGAUGAUUAUGCAAUGGAUUCUUUGCCCGAAGAAUGGUUGCUCCAGAAUGCUGCUUCUCUCCAUUCCAUUGAAAUGGGAGUUGCUGAGGCUCUGCGCUCCCUGCCAUCUGUGAUGGAAAAGCUUGGAUCGCUACAGAGUUUGCAUAUAGAAAGAGCCCCUCUGAUUCAGUCACUCCCUCAACUCCCUGCCUCACUCUUUAAGCUGGUAAUCUGGGGCUGUAACACAACGUUUCUGAAGCGUUAUGAAUCAGGUGGUGAAGACUGGGGCAAAAUUGCCCACAUUGCAGCUGUGGAUAUCAAGGCCUACUCUGAAGGGACUUACUACGGUGAUGAUCAGAGUCAAGAUUUCAUCAAUAGCAACAGCAGUCAUCAAUUCGUCGUGAUAGACUGAAUACAGCACUGUUGAGUGGCGAAGCAUUCAUUCUGUACUUGUACUUUUACUGGGAGGGACUCGGGAAGUCGGGAGAUUGGAACAAAUAGUGGCCUUUAGGCUUUAGGCAAAAAAAAAACGUACUUGCCUAAGAAAACUGCCUAACUCUUGUUCUGUACCAACGGUGGACUGAGUAAUUCUUCGCUUUCGAAAGAUCUGAUCAUCAGAUUUGCCAUACCAUACCAGCGGUGGAGAUUUCGGUGCCAGACUGCCAGUUAUUUUUCCUGUUGUCCUCUUUGAACAAGUUACUUGAUUUUUUUUACCCUUGUGACAAGACUGCAAAGGAAUGGCAGUUGCCAUCUCCUAGUGUGCCAUUACAGCUAUGGAUGUGUUCGGUUUGUUGCC